rnacentral:lncRNA from 1 species
UUUUUUUUUGGGGAUAAAUACACGAACAAAUGCUGUACUGCUAGUAGUAUUAUUACUUAUACAUUGGAGUAUUGAGAAGAAGAAAAGGGUUCUGUGUAUUUGAAAUCUUCAGCAUCAUAUGCAAAUUAUGGGUUAUGUAUUUUAAUGGGAAGAUGAUUAUUUUAAUGUUAUUAAGUUAAGAGAAGUGAGAAAUUAAAAGCAGCAAGAGCAAUGCCGGGAAAAAUGGGAAGGAGAGAGAAAAUAAUGUUUUUGCUGAAGAAACAGAUGAUGAAUGUUAUGUUCAUGGAGAUGAGAGCCACCACUUCCUCUGUACUCUUCCUUUUUCUCCUUUUCAUUCUUAUUCUCUCUGUUCUUUAAUUCAUCAGCUCACAAAUCUGUGUCCUUUUUUUUCUCUCAAAGAUUCAAUUUUUCAUUACCUAAAAUUGUUAUACUUGCGGUUUCUUCAUCUGGGGUUCUCUUAUUUCACACUGAAGUUCAAAAAGUUUCUUCCUUUUUUAGGUGGGGUUGUUUAUUUAUCUCUAAAUAUUGCUCUCUGGGGUUUUUGCAGGCUAAAUUUAUCAGCUCACAAAUCUGUAUUUGUUAAAAAGUUUCAAUUUUUAUACCCAAAAAUCUUUAUACUUGUGUUACUUGAUCUGGGGUUCUAUUAAUUUCUCACUGAAGUUCCAAAAGUUUCUUCCUUUUUUGGUGGGGUUGUUUAUUUAUCUCUAGAUAUUGUUAUCUGGGGUUUAGAGGAUUUAAUUGCAGAAUCUGAUAUGAGUAUUGUUCAGUAGUUAUUUGGGUGCUGAGCUCUGGAUCUGAUCUUGAUUUUAAUGAAAAAUUUGAUCUUGGGAUCAAAUCUUGAUGAUUCUGGGAUUGGUUGAGUUGGGUUUUUAGGUUUGAGUCAACAGAUUGGUCAAAGGUUCAAUCUUUUUGUUGUCAUAAGUUUCAAGCUAUUUUGGUUGUAUAUAUCAAAAUUCAGUGUGAAAUAGAUUGUUGUAAUCUGUUCUCCCCUUAAGGAUAUUUAGUGAUUUCUGGGGGAAAAGCUUACUGCUUUUUGUGUAAUUUUUAAAGAAAAAAACAUUAAAUAUAACCCUGAAUCCACCAUUUUUUAUUGUGGAUUAUAGAUUCCAUUAUAUUUUGAUAGAGUUUCUUCUUUUAGCACAAAGAAAUCAGAUUACAAAAAUUCUUAGAUUAGGAGAAGAGUUGUAGUCAGGCUUAUCUAAGUGAGGCGAAUUAUCGGUAUAUUUGGUGGGUGAUUUCUGGUCUAUGGGAGUACCUGAUAGUUCACUACUGGAUUUGAUAGAGAAGGUUAGGACUUGGAUAUCGUGGGUUAUGAGUGAUCCAACUUCAUUGGCUGGCAGACGCAAGAUGGAUGCUGACAGUUGCAAAACCUGUUAUGAAUGCAAGAUGAAGUUUACUGAUUCUUACCUCAAGUUCCAUUGCUUAAGUUGCAGUCGAGUAUUCUGCAAUGAUUGUGUGCGCAUUUUUGGAUCUUCAGAUGUUGUUGCAUCUGGAUCAGGAGAAUCAGAAAGCUUGGUGAGGGCUGCGGUUGAUAUCAAGACUUGCAAAUUUUGUUCUGACUUAAGCAAUUGUCAUAAAAGCACGAGGAAGUUUAGUGACAAAGUUUAUCCUUCUGAAUCUCCAAGAGAAAGCCCAGAACCGCCGUCACCAGAUUUCAGUAGUGACAGAUUUGAUGGUUAUUCUCCACAUGAUGCAAGUAAGAGUAGUUUUACAGCCUUUUCAAGUCAUCCAUCUUCAGUGUCUUUGCGUCACUCGCCAAGCAGGUAACAAUCUGGUUCAAUAUUUGUUAGAUUUCUUUAUUUCCUUGUAAUUAUUCCAGGGUGAAAUUUUGUGUUUUCCAUGUAUGUUAAUAUACUAAAUGAAACAUCAAAUAUGGCAGGAUCAACCUGUUAUCUAAUUAUUGAUUUAGUUGUUUUAGUUUCCGUAAUUGUGGGUAUAAGAGCUUGGUUUUACUUUGUUUUCUCAAAAAGAGAUUUGGAUCUAUCCCAAGAUUUGGCUUGGCUUAAAGUAGCUGAUGUUGCGAUAAUCUUAUGUGUAAAGGCUGGAGUUUCGUUCCAAGAUAUUCGGCAUGUGAUAUUAACUUAUAUCUGUUUUUUCAGUUUUCUAUUAUCUUGUUUGCAAGUCAAAAGAUCAUUUCGUUUGCACCAAAGUGGUGCCAAAAACUUCACAUUUGUGUUGUAUCAUUAAAUUUCCGACAUAUCUAUAUAGCUUUCUGAACAAGUUUUUUUUUUUUGGACACAAAAAAAUACAAGCACUAAAGAGCUUCUAAUUCUCCACAUGGGCUUCUUUACUCCUUGAAAAAUCUUAUGUACUCUUUUUCCCACAUCAUCUAGAACAUAACAAUGGUGCGACCUUCCAAUUAUCGUUCCCCCAUCCCAAAUUUUUUCAUCCUGCAACUUGACUGGGCAUCUGCCACCGUACUCGGUAGCACUCAAGCAACAUUGAACAAAGAGAAGACAAACUUCAUGUAUGUUAAUUUGACUACCGAAUAAAGCCUACUGUUUCUUUUUGGAAAAAAAUUACCCAUCAAACAGAAGCUACAUAGAUUUUAUGAGAUUGCUAACAUAUGUUCAACUUGUGUUUUCAAAGCUGCUUCCUUGAACUAAGAAAUCUUACUUUUGUGCUUAUAAUUGUAGGAGUGAUGAAGAUGAAGGAGGGGACUUCAUGGAUCAUUCUUUUAGCCCAUCAAGUGACUAUUGUCAUGAUACUUCUGAUAUAGAAUCAAGUAGUGUUAGUACUAGACAUGAAUUUUACGGUUUCAGAUCAGUUGGAUCUAGUCCUUCAAAAAGCCCCUCUAGGAUUCGUUUUAUUUCCAAUAGAGUUGGGCAUUCUGUACAGCACCAACAAGAGACCCCAAUGUCUCGGAAUGAUGGUCCCCUUGAUCAUGAAGCGUCAACUGUUUUAGGAAGGGUUGAGAAAGGAAAUGAGGAUCUAGAGACUGCUGAUGACUGUGUUGACAAUUUGUCCAUUUACCAAGACCAGUUUGAGAAGCAGCAAAAACCAUUGGAUUUUGAAAACAAUGGUCGUCUAUGGUUCCCUCCUCCACCUGACGAUGAAGAUGACGAGGCACAAAAUAAUUUCUUUACAUAUGAUGACGAGGAUGAUGAAAUCGGAGAGACUUCUGCAUCAUUUUCUUCCAGUGGGAGCCUUGCCAGCAUUUUCCCUGCAAAGGAGAAACAGCAAGCGGAUCACAAGGAACCAUUACGAGCUGUUGUACACGGUCAUUUCAGGGCUCUUGUCUUGCAGCUAUUGCAAGGUGAAGGUAUAAAUUCAGGGAAGGAAGGCAGCACUGAUGACUGGAUUGACAUAGUUACAUCAAUAGCAUGGCAAGCUGCAAAUUAUGUGAAGCCAGAUACUAGUAAAGGAGGCAGCAUGGAUCCAGGUGAUUAUGUAAAGGUCAAGUGCGUAGCUUCAGGAAGCCAAAGUGAAAGGUGAAUUUUUCUCUUCUUACCACACGGACAUUAAUAUUUUCCAUUUUUUCUGAUCAUGUGAAAGUCUGGCGGGUUCAGGUUUGUUUUUUGUUAGAUUCAUGAUUGAGUUUUGGUUCAAUGCAGCACCCUCGUUAAAGGAGUAGUUUGUACUAAGAAUAUCAAACACAAGCGCAUGACUUCACAGUACAAAAAUGCCCGAUUACUUAUUUUACGAGGAGCACUUGAGUACCAAAGAGCUGCCAAUCAGUUGGCAUCUUUUGACACCUUAUUGCAACAGGUUUUGACUUGAUCUUUAUCUGUUAAUGGAUGAGAUAAGAGCAAAUAGAGACAGAUUAAAAUGUUCUGUUCGCCUAACAGGAAAAGGAGCACCUGAAGAUGAUCAUUUCAAGAAUAGAGGCUCACCAUCCUAAUGUGCUGCUUGUGGAGAAAAGCGUCUCUUCAUAUGCUCAGGAGCUUCUACUGGCAAAAGAGAUCUCUUUGGUGUUAAAUGUUAAGGGGCCACUGCUAGAGCGGAUAGCCAGGUGCACUGGUGCUCUUGUAACCCCAUCCAUUGAUAACAUAACCACAACAAGAUUGGGACAUUGCGAACUCUUCCGCUUAGAAAAGGUUUCUGAAGAGCAUGAACAUGCCAACCAGUUAAACAAGAAGCCAUCAAAAACUCUGAUGUUUUUUGAUGGUUGUCCUAGGCGUUUAGGUUGCACGGUAUUUUCCCCUACCUUGAAUCCAUUAUUGGUUUACUGAAAUUCGAAUUAUUUGAAGUUCUAAAUAUGAUUUAAAUAUUGCAUACCUGUUGGUAUACUCGUCUUUUUUACUUCCUUGAGCAUGCAAAGUUCCUCUAAACUACUACUAAUAUCAUGCAUCUAUUUAACUUUGACCACCUUGCUCUAAUUAUAUGUUUAUUCAAGUGGGUUCCCUUAUGGUUAUGCUCAUGUUAUGGCAUUUAUAUGAUGAUUUCUUCUGUGCCAUUUGUACUUCUCCUUUCUAGUCACCAAUUUCAAGUAGAAACCAGAAAUUUCAUCUUUACAUCUGAUUAAGAAAUUUAAAUUGUUAUUUGAACUUAAUUAAGAUGUUUCACUUCAUAUAUUUAACUUAAUAGCCCUUUUUUUUCAUUUCUAACUCCAAGCAGAUUUUGUUUGUGUUUACAUAUAUAAUUUCUUGCAUUGCGCAUAAAAACAAGGGGCUUUAGUUGUGCGUUGAGCUUGAAGCCCAUGAAACAUUUGAUGCUUUUAUAAGCAUUUCGUUUUUAAUAGCAUUGUGAACAUUAGUUUAAACUUGUUGUGAAACUUCAAUGGGGUUCCCUCGUCACUAAAUGUGUAGCUCUCAUGUUUUUUUCUUCUGCCAAUAUGGGGUUUGCGAGUUUCAACUCAAGCUUAUGUGCAAAGUUGACAAGAUAUUGUCUUGUAUCUUUAUUUGUAUAUUAAAUGUUGAAGUUAGAUAUAGAGGGUCACUUAUCCUUUCAUUUGACAAUAUGUAGGUCUUGCUAAGGGGCUCAUGUCGUGAAGAGCUGAAGAAGCUGAAGAAGGUCGUUCAGUAUGCUGUAUUUGCUGCAUAUCAUCUGUCCCUCGAGACAUCGUUCCUUGCUGAUGAGGGUGCUAGUCUACCUAAAGCAUCUGCAGCACCCGAGGGUACAUCUGCUGAUAAUUCUAUCUCAGCGAUUUCUCAUUCUGCUGCGGCUGCAAGAGCGCAGACAGUUGCAAAUGACUCACAUGUUCAACUAGGAUCUGCCAAUUGCAGUGUGGAGGUAGUUUUACCGGAGUCAUUGUUGGAGCAUCAUUACCCUCAAUGCGGCGAUCAAUCUAACCUAGAUGACUGUGGAGCAAGAGAUGUUCUCUCUACUGCUGGUCUUGAAAAUCUAGCACCGUUUCUUGCGCAUGAUUCGAGAGCUGUUGGUUUUGUUGAAAUCAAAGAUCAAACUAAUGAAGGAUCGCUGGAAACUUCAGGUCAAGAAGAGAGUCAGCCCAGAGACCUAGGAGAGCUGUCAAGGCUUGAAAAGUCAGAUGAAAACGAAGCCUCCAAUGAAUUCUAUUCAGCUGCGGACGGUUGUCAAAGCAUAUUAGUUUCCUUCUCUAGUCGAUGUAUUUUAAAUGGAAGUGUGUGUGAACGUUCUCGGCUACUUCGCAUCAAGUUCUAUAGCUCUUUUGAUAAACCACUUGGGCGAUAUCUUCAGGAUGAUCUUUUUGGUCAGGUAAAUCAUCAUUUUGUCUCUAAGUUCAAUAAUACAUGAUAUUCCCUUACCCAAAAUAAUUUCAUGCUAUUUUUGUAUUUCACUUCAUGAUGUCAGAUGUCUUCCUGUCAAUCAUGCAAGGAGCCAGCCGAGGCUCAUGUCAUCUGCUAUACACACCAACAGGGGAAUCUUACCAUAAAUGUUAGACGCCUUCCCUCGGUGAGUUCACUUCCUGGUGAACGGGACAAAAAGAUUUGGAUGUGGCAUCGAUGUCUUAAGUGUGCACAAAUAGAGGGAGUUCCACCAGCGACUCGCAGAGUAAUAAUGUCAGAUGCUGCUUGGGGACUCUCAUUUGGGAAGUUCUUGGAACUUAGUUUUUCAAAUCAUGCAACUGCUAACCGUGUUGCUAGCUGUGGUCAUUCUCUGCAAAGAGACUGCCUCCGAUAUUAUGGGUCCGUACUGUGUAGUACUUUCCUUAAGAAUAGGGUUGGCUUCCCCAACAGUUUGAAAUCACUGUGAUUAUUCAGUCAUUGCUUCACCAUCUUGUUGUGAAGAGAAUAAAAUAGACUUUGCUUUUGCAGGUGUGGAAGUAUGGUUGCGUUCUUCCGCUAUUCUCCUAUUGACAUUCUGUCAGUUCGUCUGCCCCCAUUAACUCUUGAAUUUAGUGGCUACACAGAACAGGAAUGGCUAAGGAAAGAAGCAGCUGAGGUGCCAGAAUUUAUAAAUACUUUUCGUGGCUAUCUUGAAAUGAUUCUGAGUUUUUGUAAUAUCUUUGGUUUUGUUUUUGCUUACAAUAGCUCUGUGUGACAUGUCUUGUCUUUCCUGCAGUUACUGUGUAAAGCCAAAGCUUUGUACGCGGAAAUAUCCAGUGCCUUUCGAAGGAUUGAAGAGAAAAGUUCCUCUUUAGAAUGUCAAAUAUAUACAACUCAGUUGAAUGACUGCAUCGUGGAGUUAAAGGACCUGCUUAUGAAAGAAAAGAACGAUUACUAUGUAAGAAACAACGGGUCAUCAAUCUUAAUACUUGUACAUUUUCCUUUCAUGAGUAUAAUUUUGCAGUUUUGCUGCAGAUUAUGUAGUAAAGCAUGCAUGACUAGUGCUGUCUUUCUCCUUACUGCUUUGCUUUCUGUUUGCCUGUACACUAGGACUUUCUUCAACCGGAUGAUGAAGAAACUUUCGACCCAAGGCAGGCUGCAAUAGACAUUCUUGAGCUGAAUCACUUGAGGCACUCCCUUGUGAUUGCUUCGCAUGUUUGGGAUCGUCGGCUUUUGUCUGUGAAAUCUUUUCUUGAAAAGAGUUCUAGUUCAGUGGGUUCAGAGGAUUCUGGAUCUUGUAAUGAGCUGAUAGACUGGAGGAGGGACAUGUUUCUGAAGAAUGACACUCUUGAACAUGUUUAUGAAGAAUCUGUGCCUGGGUUCUCAGACUUAGAAGAAUAUACCGAGAAAGCUUUGCAGUCCGAACAGGAGGAAACUCGCGUAUCACCUUAUGGUUCUGGUGAGCUCGAAAGUUCCAUGUUAACCUCAUCUGAUAGUGAGAGAACGCAGGAAAUGCAGAUGGAAGGAGAGAAUGUGGCUACUGAAACAUCCUUGGCACGAACUCCUUCAGCUGCAUCAGUCCUUUCCGAUCAGAUAGAUUCUGCUUGGACUGGCACAGACCGAUCUCCCAAAAAAGGUCAGUUGCUUCUGAUGCUGCAAGGAGAAGGAUCUGAAGCUGCUUCUUUUAGACCACCAAGUCAACUUGAUUACCCUCCUUUUAGAAAGCUACGGUCACCCGCAAGAGUUCACUCCUUUGACUCUGCUCUGAGACUUCAGGAAAGAAUCAGGAAGGGACUGCCGCCUUCUUCAUUACAUUUAUCAACAAUUAGGUCUUUUCAUGCUUCUGGUGACUACAGGAAUAUGAUCAGAGACCCUGUUUCCAGUGUUCAGAGAAGUUAUUCUCAGAUGU